rnacentral:rRNA from 1 species
UACGUAGGGGUGCAAGCGUUGUCCGGAAUUAUUGGGCGUAAAGAGCUCGUAGGCGGUCUGUCGCGUCGGCUGUGAAAACUCGGGGCUCAACCCCGAGCCUGCAGUCGAUACGGGCAGACUAGAGUGCGUGUAGGGGAGACUGGAAUUCCUGGUGUAGCGGUGAAAUGCGCAGAUAUCAGGAGGAACACCGGUGGCGAAGGCGGGGUCUCUGGGCAGUAACUGACGCUGGAGGAGCGAAAGCGUGGGGAGCGAACAGG